AUGGUCUUAGCUUGCUAAGGCCGAUGGCGACCGGCGCACGGGUGAGUAACACGUAUCCAACCUGCCGUCUACUCUUGGACAGCCUUCUGAAAGGAAGAUUAAUCCAGGAUGGGAUCAUGAGUUCACAUGUCCGCAUGAUUAAAGGUAUUUUCCGGUAGACGAUGGGGAUGCGUUCCAUUAGAUAGUAGGCGGGGUAACGGCCCACCAAGGCGACGAUCAGUAGGGGUUCUGAGAGGAAGGUCCCCACAUUGGAACUGAGACACGGACCAAACUCC
rnacentral:rRNA from 1 species